rnacentral:rRNA from 1 species
GACGAACGCUGGCGGCGUGCUUAACACAUGCAAGUCGAACGGAAAGGCCUGCAGCUUGCUGCGGGUACUCGAGUGGCGAACGGGUGAGUAACACGUGGGUGAUCUGCCUUGCACUUCGGGAUAAGCUUGGGAAACUGGGUCUAAUACCGGAUAGGACAGCUGUUUAGUGUCAGUUGUGGAAAGUUUUUUCGGUGCAAGAUGAGCUCGCGGCCUAUCAGCUUGUUGGUGGGGUAAUGGCCUACCAAGGCGUCGACGGGUAGCCGGCCUGAGAGGGUGUACGGCCACAUUGGGACUGAGAUACGGCCCAGACUCCUACGGGAGGCAGCAGUGGGGAAUAUUGCACAAUGGGCGGAAGCCUGAUGCAGCGACGCCGCGUGGGGGAUGAAGGCCUUCGGGUUGUAAACUCCUUUCGACAGGGACGAAGCGUAAGUGACGGUACCUGUAUAAGAAGCACCGGCUAACUACGUGCCAGCAGCCGCGGUAAUACGUAGGGUGCGAGCGUUGUCCGGAAUUACUGGGCGUAAAGAGCUCGUAGGUGGUUUGUCGCGUCGUCUGUGAAAUUCCGGGGCUUAACUCCGGGCGUGCAGGCGAUACGGGCUGACUUGAGUGCUGUAGGGGAGACUGGAAUUCCUGGUGUAGCGGUGAAAUGCGCAGAUAUCAGGAGGAACACCGAUGGCGAAGGCAGGUCUCUGGGCAGUAACUGACGCUGAGGAGCGAAAGCAUGGGUAGCGAACAGGAUUAGAUACCCUGGUAGUCCAUGCCGUAAACGGUGGGCGCUAGGUGUAGGGGGCUUCCACGUCUUCUGUGCCGUAGCUAACGCAUUAAGCGCCCCGCCUGGGGAGUACGGCCGCAAGGCUA